rnacentral:rRNA from 1 species
UACGGAGGGUGCAAGCGUUAAUCGGAAUUACUGGGCGUAAAGCGUGCGUAGGUGGUUCGUUAAGUCCGUUGUGAAAGCCCCGAGCUCAACUUGGGAAUUGCAGUGGAUACUGGCGAGCUAGAGUGCGGUAGGGGAAGGUGGAAUUCCCGGUGUAGCGGUGAAAUGCGUAGAGAUCGGGAGGAACGCCAGUGGCGAAGGCGGCCUUCUGGACCAGCACUGACACUCAAGCACGAAAGCGUGGGGAGCAAACAGG